rnacentral:lncRNA from 1 species
CAGCAUGUAGUCGCUCAUGUGUGCCAGGCUGCUCAGAGGCAAGGACAAGCUGUCCUCUGUGGGAGGUGUAUUGUCUGUGUCCUCUGUAUCCCCCUAGCCACGCUCCAGUGAUGCCCACGAGCUGAAUUGGGUGCCACCCUGCUGUGAACAUGGAUCCUCCUCCUCAUCCUCUAGAACUGUGCCCUGGCUGGACAAUUGUGUACCUGGCCUAUGCUGGUGCAGGAACCCACCCUCCGAGCCACUUGUGAAUGACUGGCCUGAUAACCGUGGAAAUGACCCCUCAUCCUCUUCCAUCAUCGUGUGAAGCGUUUUUUCAAGGAGACAUAGAAGCGGGAUAGUAAGGCUGAGAACGGCAUCAUCGGCACUGGCCAUGUUGGUGGAGUACUCGAAACAGCGCAACAUGGCACACAGGUUUCGCAUGGAGGCCCACUCAUUGGUGGUUAAGUGGUGCUGUUCCGCAGAGUGACUGACCCGUGCGUGCUGCAGCUAAAACUCCACUAUCGCCUGCUGCUGCUCGCACAGUCUCUCCAGCAUGUGCAAGGUGGAGUUCCACCUUGUGUGCACGUCGUAUAUAAGGCGGUGAGCGGGAAGGCCGAAGUUACGCUGCAGCACAGACAGGCGAGCAGCAGCAGAGUGAGAACGCCAAAAGCGCGCACUUUCUGCAGCAGCUCUGAUAUAUCUGGGUAGUUUUUCAGGAAUUUCUGCAACACCAAAUUCAGCACAUGCGCCAGGCAAGGGAUGUAUGUCAAACCGGCUAGGCCCAGAGCUGCUACGAGACUUCGCCCAUUAUCGCACACCACCAGGCUGGGCUUGAGGCUCAGUUGUUCCAUGCCCGUCCACAGCACCUGCGCAGUGUGGGGUUUUUCCCCCAAACAUAUGAGUUUUAAAACAGCCUGCUGUCGUUUCCCCCUGGCUGUGCUGAAGUUGGUGGUGAAGGUGUUACGCUGACCAAAUGAGGAGGUGGUAGAGGAGGAGGAAGACGAGGAGGCAACAGGAGGCAAAGAGAAAUGCCCUGCAAUCCUCGGUGGCGGAAGGACAUGCGCCAAACUGCCAUCCGCCUCAGGCCCAGCCGCCACUACAUUUGCCCAGUGUGCAGUUAGGGAGAUAUGGCAUCCCUGCCCGUGCUUACUAGUCCACGUAUCAGCGGUUAUGUGGACCUUGCCACAGAUGGCAUUGCGCAGUGCACACCUGAUUUUGUCCGCCAAUUGGUUGUGCAGGGAAGGGAUGGCUCGCCUGGAAAAGUAGUGAUGGCUGGGAAACACGUACUGUGGGACAGCCACCGCCAUCAGGUUUUUAAAACUGUCCAUCUCCACCAGACGGAAUGACAGCAUUUCAAAGGCCAGGAAUUUUGACAUGCUGGCAUUCAGGGCCAGGGAUCGCGGGUGGGUAUGGGGCUUCUUCCUCUUUCUCUCCAGUGUUUGGGAGAUGGACAGCUGAACGCUUCCAUGGGACAGUGUGGAGAUGCUUUGGGACGAUGGCGGAUGUGGUGGCGUUGCUACCACAUCCUCUGUUUGCAGGGUGGCAGGUGCCACUGUGACUCCAGAGGUGGAGGAAGAGGCAGAGACAGCAGCAAAAGAGGAAGCAGGAGGAGCCUGAGACCUUUCUUGGUUUUUGAGGUGCUUACUCCACUGCAGCUCAUGCUUUGCAUGUAGAUGCCUGGUCAUGCAGGUUGUGCUCAGGUUUAGAACGUUUAUGCCUCGCUUCAGGCUCUGAUUGCACAGCCUGCAAACCACUCGUGUCUUGUCGUCAGCACAUUGUCUGAAGAACUGCUACGCCAGGGAACUCCUUGGAGCUGGCUUUGGUGUGCUCGGUCCCUGGGUGCAGUGAUCAGUAGCAGGCGUACUGUCUAUGGGACGGCCGCUCCACAUUUGCACCCUGCUCCCUUUUAUGCUGUGCUGGUGCCUCUGUUCGACCACCGCCUCUUCCUCCAAACUGCACACGUCACCUUGAUUCCAUGUGGGGUCUAGGACCUCAUCAUCCUCCACAUCAUCUUCCACCCACUCCUCAACCCUGCCCUCCUUGUGGGUCUGCACACUGCAGAAAGCCACAGCAGUUGGCACCUGUUUUUCGUCAUCAUCAGAGACGUACUGUGGUGGUCCUCGCAUGUCCACAUCCUGAAACAUAAGUGGUUGUGCAUCAGUACACUCAAUCUCUUCCACUUCUGGGGCAGGGCUAGGUGGAUGGCCCAUGGAAACCCCGCCAGCAGAGUCAUCAAAAAGCAUAAGAGACUGCUGCAUGACUUGUGGCUCAGACUGCUUGGCUGAUUUGCAAGGGGGUGAGGUAAAAGAGAGAUGGCCAUGGGCUGCAGGUGCCAACUCUGAGCUUUCAGUAGGGGACUGGGUGGGAGACAAUGUGAAGGAACUGGAGGCACUGUCAGCCCUCCAAUCUACUAUCGCCUGUACUUGUUCUGGCCUCACCAUUCGUACAGCGGCAUUUGGGCCUACCAAAUAACACUGAAGGUUCUGUCGCCUACUCGCACCUGAGGAAGGUGUUUCACUUGUGCGUGUAGCUGGCACAGAUCAACCACGUCCUCUCCCUGCAACAGGCACUGCACCAACACCAGCAGCACCAUGACCAGGGUCACGUCCCUUAUUUGACGCUCUACUCAUUCUUUGCAUUCACCCACCAAACUAACAGAUGGUUUAUGUCAGGCGACAAUGUAACCGCCAAAAGUCAACAAUUAAGUUCACUGACAGUAAGGCAGUGUUGGUGUCCUAAAGAGAAAAAAUUUCUAGAGGUCACACAACAGUGUGACAGGCGUAAUUAAUACAGUUACAGUUACUGUCUCAAAAAAAUAUGAAUUUGUCAAACAACAAUGUAACAGUAGUAUUUAACGGUUUUAUUGGACUGCAAGAAAUGCACCAAAGGCCGCAAAUGUACUAUUUAGCACCAAAAAAAUUUGAAUUUUUCAAAGUGCAAUGUAACCACAGUAUUUAACGGUUCUAUUUGACUCUCAGAUAUGAAGUGCACGCCCCAAAUGUAAUUUUUAGGACCCAAAAAAUUUGAAUUUUUCAAAGUGCAAUAUAACCACAGUAUUUGACGGUUCUAUUUCACUCUCAGAUAUGAAGUGCACGCCCCAAAUUUACUUUUUAGCACCAAAAAAAUUUGAGUUUGUCAAACUGCAAUGUCGCAGCAGUAUUUAAAAAUGCCUAGAUGUUGGCCACUGAGCUACCAGAACAGGAUUAAAGUAAUGCAGUUGCAAGUGCCCACAUAACAAACAGACUGCUUAUUUCUCUGUGACACUGUGCACAGAGCAGGGUACAAAAAUAUAAUAUAGCACCCACAAAAAUAAUUGCUGUAGUUUGCAGAUUCAACACCAGAAUUCUUUCCUAAUCUGUCCCUCACAGCUGCAGCAUCCUCUCCCUACACUAAUAAGAGCUCAUGUGACUGGCCAAUCACAGCCAUGCCAUUAGUAGACAUGGCUGUGAUGGCUUCUAAGGGCACACAAGUCAAACGCUUGUUGAUUGGCUGCCCUGCAGCUUUUCAAAACGAGCCAUCAAAUCGCUGAACACUGAACUCGAACCCGAACUGUUACUGAAAUGUUCGGGGUCAAGAAAUCGUAAUAUUCAGUACGAACCCGAACUUUACAGUUCUGGUUAGCUCAACUCUAUUUCAGAUUCAUUUUACAAUCUCUACAACUAUGUAGUAAGUAGUUCACAAUCACAUACAUACUUCAAGGCUGGAUUAAAACUAUUCUUUAUUGAAACCUACAGUAACAAUGGAAUACAUACAUAUAUUCAAGUCAACUGGGGAAGAAAAGACUUUAACAUCAUCAUUUCACCAACGACCAAAUUUCUUUGUGCUUAACAUACUUUCUGACACUAAACAAAGUACUUCUCAUUUCUGAUUUCAGUACUUCUGAAUGCAUGGUAGGUUUUAUCAGCAUUACAGCAUAUACUGGAAAAAUAAACAUUUUCUGCACAGACAUAAGCAGAAGGACCAACAAUGUUCACAAGACUUCAUAUUUUCAAAGUACGGUUUACUUUCCAUAGAAUACAAAUAGUAAGCAAACACAAUAAACAAACGUCAAAAGGAAUCAAAAGAAUAGACGUACAAAAUAAAUUAUAAAAAUAAUACAGAGUCAGUAUGCAUACAUAGCACACUGUUGAAGAGCAGAUAUGUAUUUUUUUCUGUUAUAUAAGUAAGAAUAAUAAAUUUUUUUAAACAUAAAUUGUAUAGUCAAUCUUUGCUUUAUUGAGGCAUACAGAUAUCAGAGUAGAAGUAAAGGAGCAACACAGAUUUGCAAUAUCAACAAUUUUAAGCAUUCCACAUUAGCAAGCCUCUUUUACUUUUUUUGUGUGCAUCAGUUGGAUCUGGGCGGUACGAUUUGCAUCUAAUGGCUGUUCGUGUCAGAUGUAGGUACCUUGUAGGUGGUUGGUAAGGUUAAACAGAGUGAAUGAAAUAAGAAAUGUUGAGAAAGAUUUAAACUUAGAUUAACUGUAACAGUCAAAUCUUUGAUCCGACCAACGUGGCCAGGUAGUGUGUCCUAUUUAUGUGUAGGCGGGUCUGGCGCUAUCAUGAAUGACAUCUCUGUUGUUUUACUAGGUACUUGUAGUCUAUGAUAAUGAAUAGAUUAAUAACCCCUAACCAAGGGAGACAUGGGGAGGAGGGGAGUAGAGAACAUUCUCAAGGAUCAAGAGUUCUAUCGUGGCUGUUAUGAGCCAUCAUGGAGCGCCAAUUGUGUGUUUAGGCUAGGCCUAGUUGGGUAUGAACUAACUUCAGCCUGCGAGCUGCAUAAGAGAAAAAAGUAAAUUUACAACUAGACAACUUAACAAGAAAACAAAGCAUUUGGCACUGAAGGUGGCUUAAGUUGCUGCAGCUUCUCUCAACUGACCCGUGACUAUGCUGAGGGACUUCCACCAUUGCAGGGUAUUCCUGGUGAGCUCUUGAAAAAAUGUCAGCUUGGAAGCCUCAAAGUCAAAUGGGGUUUUAACCCUUUACUGCUGCCAGAAUGCAGUUCUUGUCUGACAGGUAAUGACAUUGUACUAUUAUGUUGUGGGUGGCAUCGGACGGGGUCUGUCUGGAUUUGUUGAUCCUGUGGCAGCCGUCAAACAAGCUCUUUAGCCUGAGAGUGAGGUAGGGGAGUUUCUGUCAAGCGCCUCAAGUAGUGUGGCAAUUCGGCCAGGCCAAUUGAGUCCGGCAUGCCUUGGAUUUUAAUAUUGGCGCAUCUGUUGCGGUCUUCAAUAAUAUCUACCCGCUGUAUCAGGGAAGUAUGAGAGUGUUGCAGGCUUUGCAUUUGUUCUUUCAGCCCUUGUACCUCUCGCUUGAGAUCCAGGACAUCUUCCUCUGUAGCUUGCCUGCAGGCUGUCAUAAUCUGCACUUCGGUUCAGACUAUGUACAGAUCUGCCAGACAUCUGUCUGAACUCCCUUAAGAGGUUGGCAAUAUCUUGUUUAGCAGCUGAAGCUAGCAGGUCUUGUUCUGCCAUUUCCUCUAGGAGUGUUGUGGGGGAGGUCAUGUCCCCAGAUACAGUCGGAUCUGCUUGGGAAUCUGCCUUUUUCAUACCGCUGUCUGACCGAGCCGCCAUCUUGGAGGCUGCUGGUCAUUGUAACAUUGCACCAAUAUCGCGAGAAUCUCUGCUGGAGCAAGGCUGUGACUUCUGGGAUCUGCGCCCCAUGGUGUCUGUGUGCAGAUAGGGGUUAUCAAGCAGCCAAGGGGACCUAUACAGCUGCACAAUCUCGGACUCCAGGUCCAGUGGGAUGGCCCCAGUUCCAUUUCAGGUACAAGAAAGGCAUGGGUCUGUUGCUAACCCUCUCCUGUUAAUGUUGGACGCAGGCUAUUGCUCUGAUGGAGACUCGGCACCCCAGAUUUGAGAUGAUUAGGUGACAGAUGUCCGGAGCCAUGAUAGAUGGCAUUAGUUCGGCUCAGACGCUAAGCUCUGCUACCCGUUGCAAUCUAUAUUUUGCAACAUAUUUUGUCUUGUUAACCCCAAUUGAAUUUAAAAUUUUGGCCUAAUCAGAUGAUCUGAAAGCAUAGUUGACUUGAAGAAUUUUGAAAAUCCCAAUAUUUAUCAGUCAAUCAGUACAUUUGUGAUGGGAAGAUGGUUUAUUAAUUUGGUUUCAGGUUAGGUCAAUAUAAACUUUACUUAUUUUAUUCUGCUAUCUCUCAUAUGGUGAAAAUGCACUAAGUUAAGCAGUCUUGCACUGACCCCGAGGGCACUCUUGAUGGUGGUCACCAUUAUGCAAUGCUCCUUCAAAGCUAUUUUUAAAUUGUCAGCUAUCAAGGAGCAUUCAAUCAGUACCAAGGGUGCUCUCAGUAAAAGAACAUCCCACUGACAACAGUGGGACCUAGCAGUAAAGUUAUUUUCAUUAUCAGUGAGAGAGCUGAGCAUCUUUUGUCUUUUGAUUUGAGGAAAAUCUGCAAUAUAAGAAUGAGGGUAGAAGUGAUUGCAGUUAUGAGUCAUGGGAUUUGGGUCCCUCUGGUUCAUUCUGUAAAGGUACAAUCUACAGACAAAUGGCAUCUACAAACACAUAAAGCAUCUCCCCUUUAUUAUAAUGCAUAAAUGUGCUGAUUUCUAUUUUGCAUGUUUAUACCUAAUUGCAGAAUCACCUGCCUUCCAGUGACUCUUGUCCUGCUUUUCUGCCCGACUCCGUUAGCAACAGAGAGCAAACGGAAGUGGUAGAUGUGCUCUAGUACAGUGUGUCUGCCUUGUCCUCCAGGUAACAUUCGGCCUGUCGGCAUACACUCACACAUGUUCACAGAGCUCUAUUUAACCCUGUGAGUCAGCCGUCUUGCAAUAUUAAUAAGAGCAAAUGAACUGGGCAGCGGGCUUUGUUGUAAAAUUUCUCUUUGCAAUCAAUUUGUUUUAAGUGUAUAGCUUACUUGGAGAUUGGUCCCUUUAUCUAUAACUUCAUUAAAUAAUUAUUCUACUAUGAAGAGUACUGUGCAUAAGCGUGUGCUAUAAAUAUGUUUAAAUAAACAAAUGAAUAAAUGUCAGGUAGCUGCAACACACUCUUGUUUGUAUUCACCACAAAACACGUAUAAUCUUUGCAGAUUUGUUUCAUUCAUUACAUUUAAACUGAUACUACAUUUAUAAACCACUUUAAAAUCCAUCUGUGUGAAAUAUACUUGUGUAGGUUCCUUUAAAAUAUACAUCUAGCUUGCUCAUUAACUAGUUUGGAACAUUAAGGAAUGAAAUGCACAUUGAGUUAUUCCCAAUGUUCUAAAUUAAUAAUCUGCUGUGUGAUUCAUUCUUUCUUUACAGAUUUGAAAAUAAAAUAAAAAGUAUCCCUG